AGUAAGAUUUUUUUCUAAAAUUAUAGUUGAUGGUAUUUUGGUAGAGAAACUAAUGAGAAAAUGUUUUUCCCAGGAUGCUACAGAGUCUCCGACUGUGAUCAUUGAGACUCAAGUUUGUACUCCAGUUCUAACGCAACAUGUACAUACUCAAAAAAAUCUUAGACUUUUCAAUUAAUUUUUGGAAGCUUUUGUACUUGUUCAUGAUCCAAAUCCUGUUUUUCUCUGCUUUGCAGGUGGGAACAGAGGCAACGAAUGAGACACAUGUCUCUCCAAUAGCUCCACAGAGUAUUGAGACUCCAGUUUUUACUCCAAUUCAGACGCAACAGGUACAUGCUCAAAAAAAUCUUGGACUUUUACAUUAAUUUUGGGAAGCUUUUGUACUUGUUCAUUAUCCCAUUCCUGAAUUUUUAUUUUUUUUGCACAUGGUUACAGAGGGAACGUAUGACUCUACAGAGCCUUUGACUGAAAUAAUUUCAGCAACCAAUAAACAGUAAGCAUAAAAACUCUUUCAUAGAUUCAACUUAAACUUUGUUUAAGUUGAUAUCUGUGUUUGUUCAUGAUCUAAAUCCUGUUUUUCUCUGCUUUGCAGGUGGGAACAGAGGCAACGAAUGAGAGACCUGUCUCUCCAAUAGCUCCACAGAGUAUUGAGACUCCAUUUUUUACUCCAAUUCAGACGCAACAGGUACAUGCUCAAAAAAAAUCUUCGACUUUUACAUUAAUUUUUGGAAGCUUUUGUAGUUGUUCAUGAUCCCAUUCCUGACUUUUUUUUGUUUUGCAGAUGGUAACAGAGGGAACGUAUGACUCUACGGAGCCUUUGACUGAAAUCAUUUCAGCAACCAAUAAAGAGCAUUCGACUGAAAUAAUUUCAGCAAUCAAUAAACAGGUAAGCAGAAAAACUCUUUCAUAGCUUCAACUUAAACUUUAAAUCGUAGAAACUCAUUCAUAACACAUGCUGUGCAUAACACACCUUCCUCUCCGGUCUCUUCACUAAUUUCACGAGUUAUUGAAGAAGCACAUCAUCUUCAGACAAGUGCAUCUUCACCACUUUCUACUCUCUUUGAAAACGGGGCAGAUGUUGAGAUUGCAACUAGCGAUGACGCUACUUGUCGAAUCUGGUAUCCUGGAAAUGUAUUUGCUACAAAUCUGUGUGAUGGGGUAGAGAAGGUGAAAGUAACACUGUUUGCGGACCAAAAGAGAGUUACUGUAACAGCAGACAAAAUCCGCUCUAACCCACCGGCUGAUGACAGAGAAAAAAAGUUUGAGAUGAUGGAUAAUGUUGAGGCAUUUUACAGUAAAGGCUGGAGUAGUGGAUAAGUCUGAAUGAUUCUGGGUGAGAACACAUUUUCUGUUUAUCUGAAUAGCUCGAUGGAAACACUUGAAUUCAAAGCUUCAGAUUUGGGAAUUCAUAGAGAAUGGCUAGAUGGAGUGUGGAAGAUGGCAGAUGAGGUAAUUUAUAUAUCUUAGAUAAGUUGAACUACAGUUCUCUAUGCAUAUUUAGGAUUGCCAUCCUGAUUUUUGUUGUACUUGCACAGACUCCAUUGCAUGAAGCCAAUCCAAAUCAGACGGCUUCCAGACAAAAUGAAGCCAAUCCAGAUCAGACGCAGCAGGUAGAUGCUCAAAAACAUAUUGGACUUUUCAAUUAAUUUUUAGAAACCCUUGUACGUGUUCAUGUUCCCAUUCCUGACUUCAGGAUACUAAGGAGCCUAUGAAUGAGACCAUUUCACAAAACAUUUCGGACACACAGCGCCUUACUCGAGCUCGCGCAAAAAUUUUAAGAGAGCAAAAUAAGGUAUUACUCAUUGAUGUUAUACAUAUUUAGGAUUGCCUUCCUAAUUUUUCUUGUUUUACUAUCAAAAAUGACUUAUAUCCUUGAAUAAAAAUCAUCACAGAACGAAGAACCCAGAGUUCAAACUCACUUUGAUGUCGGUGCUAAUGUGGAGAUUGCAUCAAAAGAUGAAGACAAAUAUGUGAAAUGGUAUCCAGGAAUUGUGUUGAAGACAGAUAUUCGAAAUGGGGUUGAGAUGUUGAAGGUUGAGUACUCAACACGGUUUCGUGACAAAGAGAAAAAGACAAAGAAACUUCAGGAAAGUGUGUCCAUUCACAGUAUCCGUCCUCAACCACCACCUGGAGAUACAAAAGGUUUUGAACUGAUGGAUAAGGUGGAGGCGUACCACAAUGACGGCUGGUGCAGUGGAGAAGUUCAUAUAAUUUUAAGUAAUGACAUAUAUUCUGUCCGUUUCAACAGUUCUACUGAAUUCAUUAAGUUCAACCUUUCUGAUCUGCGCAUACCUAAAGAAUGGGUAGAUGGUGUUUGGAAGAUGGAAAAAGAGGUAAACCAAAUGCCUAAGAUCCACUUAGAUUGAAGUUCACUUCAAUAUUCUGAUAUAUCGGUUUUGUUUCUCAGAUAGAAGUACAGCAGACUCAGAGUGUGAAGCCAAGACAAGACGAUCAUGCAAAAAAGGUAUGAAAUAUUUAUACAUCAUAUUAGGAAGGCUUUCAUGAAUAAAAGAUAAAAUGAUCCUGAAUUUUGGUCUUUCUAAGAUACUUUGUAUUUGUUUUUAAUUAAAGGGGAAGCCUGUUGUUGGUAUGAAGAGGAAAGCAACUGCUCAUCCAGUAGAUCAUGCAAAAAAGGGGAAGCCUGUUGUUGGUAUGAAGAGGAAAGCAACUGCUCAGCCAGUAGAUCGUCUUGCUUUUCUUCAACGAGAAAAGAAGAGGCCAAUAGUACCUAGAAACCCUCCUAUGCCUGUAACACCUGAGGUUAUCCUUCCUAUUGAUCCAUUUGUGACACCUGAAUUUCCUCUGUUUUCAAGGCUUGGAUAUUGGAUGCAGCUAUGUGGCAUACAUUAUGUGUAAGCAAAUUCUGUCCUUGUAUAAAAUAUUCGUAAUUUA